rnacentral:rRNA from 1 species
CAGUCGCCGCGGGAAUACAGAGGGUGCAAGCGUUAAUCGGAAUUACUGGGCGUAAAGCGCGCGUAGGUGGUUCGCCAAGUUGGAUGUGAAAUCCCCGGGCUCAACCUGGGAACUGCAUCCAAAACUGGCGAGCUAGAGUAUGGUAGAGGGUGGUGGAAUUUCCUGUGUAGCGGUGAAAUGCGUAGAUAUAGGAAGGAACAUCAGUGGCGAAGGCGACCACCUGGACUGAUACUGACACUGAGGUGCGAGAGCGUGGGGAGCAAACAGGAUUAGAUACCCCCGUAGUCCCUGUCUCUUAUAC